UUUUGCUCCUGUCACCUCCUUUACUAUCUUGUUGUGCUUCAGAAUCUUGAACGUUGGAACCACCCUUAUGCCAAGCUCCUUCGCCAAUGGCUGCCAAAAUGUUUCACAUAUUUUAUGGGUUAGAUAAUUCACCAAAACCGCUUUACGGCAUCUGCUGAUAACACAAAAAGUAUUGUCCUCUUUGAAUAUCAAUGAAAAGAGACAUCCUCAAGAUUUUUCCCUCACUUUGGAGAUAGCUAAGGGACGCCUCUUUAAUGUCUGAACAAGCGAAAUUCAAGGCCUCUAUGAAUAUAAGAGGUCCAUGACUGCUUGAACCAUGACCUCUAUGAAUACAAAGGCACUUUCGACAAUCAUGGUACCACUUUGACUAAGAGGUGUUCCUUAGCAUUUUUUUUCAAAACUAAAGACACCUUGAAUUGUGUUGCUCUUCAGCAACAUCUAAAGAAGACAAUAGCUUAUCGACACGAUGUUCUAACGUUAAUCAUACAAAUUACCUUAUUUUCUUGAUUGCAAUCGAGCUUUAGAAAGACAACGUCAAGGUAUUUCUCAGAUAAUUCUUGAAACUUGGGAGCUAUAACUUUGCAUGGACCACACCUAAAACAUUAAAAACAGUCAUGUAGAUGCAAAACUAGUGAAGGCCGAAUAAAGUUAUAACUAUAUGUAUUCCAAAACUUCAUCCAAUUCCGAGCUUGUUAUUAGAUCUUAGAACUCGCUCAGUUUACUGAAAGCACAUCUGACACAAAUUUACAAGUUAUAAUUAAUGCAUGAAAUAGUCUAUUAAACUAAAAAUGUUCUAUCUGUCUCGGACCCGAUUCCUAAGAACCUCUCCCCUAUACCCUUUAUAAAAAAAAAAUUACUGCAUGAAACUUAUUCUUAGAUUAAGCACGCAGGCUAUCAUUGAAUUCGGUUUGGGUUGAAUUAUAUAUGAAUAUCCUUAAUUUGCUUUGAGAUCAAGAGCCAAAGAAAAGGAAACAAUGCAAGACAGCUAUCAAGCUUCUGGAAGAGUGCGGCCAUCAGAUGACCCACAGGAAAAUUCUAGCCAUUGAAUUCAUGGGGUGGGCAAAUUAAUGGCUAAUAGAACCAAGGCCGAGUGGAGGAGCAUCACUCUAAAUACUACCAGUUACCAAAGUGAGAAACACAAGUCUGCAAAUACAAUUAAGAUAAUUGAUAUAAUUUAAUUUAAAUUAAAGAAUUGAGUAAAUAGAUUUCCGGACAUUUAGAAUUAAUUAGGAAAAAAGUAAGAACAAACAGCAAACACAACCUUAACUAAAUUCUGGCAUCAACUAAUAACAGACUACGAAGAAACAAAAGAAUGGGUACACAUAUGCAUUUAUAUACGUACCAUUGAGUAUACAUAUCGAGGACGACGGUUUUAUCCCCCGCGGCGUUAACGAUGGGCCAGAAGGUGUCCUUUGUAACCUCCGUCACCUGCCCCACCGUUGCUCCCGCCGUCUCCAGGCUCGACCUCACCUUUCCGACAACGCCUUUC
rnacentral:lncRNA from 1 species